rnacentral:tRNA from 1 species
GCCGGGGUGGCGAAAUUGGCAGACGCGCCGGACUCAAAAUCCGGUCCUGGCAACAGGGUGAGGGUUCAAGUCCCUCCUCCGGCACCA